GGUCAAGUGAAUAAGCGCAUACGGUGGAUGCCUAGGCGAUAAGAGGCGACGAAGGACGUAGUAGCAUGCGAUAAGCCGCGGGGAGUUUGCAAACUAACUUUGAUCCGCGGAUUUCCGAAUGGGGCAACCCAGUCAGGACAACCUGAUUAUCCUUAAGUGAAUACAUAGCUUAAGGAGGCGAACCCGGGGAACUGAAACAUCUAAGUACCCGGAGGAAAAGAAAUCAACCGAGAUUCCCUUAGUAGCGGCGAGCGAACGGGGACCAGCCCUUAAGUCCAGCCCCAGUUAGUGGAAUGCCCUGGAAAGAGCAGCCAUAGAUGGUGAUAGCCCAGUACAUGAAAACUGGAGCUGGAUGAAAACGAGUAGGACGGGGCACGUGAAACCUUGUCUGAACAUGGGGGGACCAUCCUCCAAGGCUAAAUACUCCUUAUCGACCGAUAGUGAACCAGUACCGUGAGGGAAAGGCGAAAAGAACCGAGGAGAUCGGAGUGAAAUAGAACCUGAAACCGUAUGCGUACAAGCAGUAGGAGUCCCGCCCCUAAAUUACUUUAGGAAAAAAAUGCAUUACUUUUAUGUCUUACAAGCAAUUGAAGAUAAAGAAAAGUUUUACUUUGGCUGUACGAGUAACCUGAAAGAGCGAAUCAGCUCGCAUAAUGCAGGUAAAAAUAUAGCAACUAGAAGCAAUCAGUGGCGAGUGGUUUAUUACGAAGCGUCUUUAACAUUAAGUGGAGCGAGACAGCGAGAAUAUCGUAUCAAGCAUCACGGCAGUGCAAAGCGUAAAUUAAUGGACCGAAUCAAACCCACCUUAGAGUAAUUUAGGGGCGGGAUGACUGCGUACCUUUUGUAUAAUGGGUCAGCGACUUAAUCUCAGUGGCAAGCUUAACCGAAUAGGGGAGGCGUAGCGAAAGCGAGUCUGAAUAGGGCGUCAUAGUCGCUGGGAUUAGACCCGAAACCGGGCGAUCUAUCCAUGACCAGGUUGAAGGUUGGGUAAUACCAACUGGAGGACCGAACCGGGAUCCGUUGAAAAGGAUUCGGAUGAGUUGUGGAUCGGAGUGAAAGGCUAAUCAAGCCCGGAGAUAGCUGGUUCUCCUCGAAAGCUAUUUAGGUAGCGCCUCGUGUAUCACUGUUGGGGGUAGAGCACUGUUUCGGCUAGGGGGUCAUCUCGACUUACCAACCCGAUGCAAACUCCGAAUACCAACAAGUGCGAGCACGGGAGACACACGGCGGGUGAUAAGGUCCGUCGUGAAAAGGGAAACAGCCCAGACCGUCAGCUAAGGUCCCCAAAUCUAUGCUCAGUGGGAAACGAUGUGAGAAGGCCCAGACAGCCAGGAGGUUGGCUUAGAAGCAGCCAUCCUUUAAAGAAAGCGUAAUAGCUCACUGGUCGAGUCGGCUUGCGCGGAAGAUUCACCGGGGCUAAGCAUAGUACCGAAGCUACGGAUCAUACUUUAGAGUAUGGUGGUAGAGGAGCGUUCUGUACGCCUGCGAAGGUCGAUUGAGAAGUCGGCUGGAGGUAUCAGAAGUGCGAAUGCUGACAUGAGUAACGAUAAUGGGGGUGAAAAACCCCCACGCCGAAAACCCAAGGUUUCCUGCGCAACGCUAAUCGACGCAGGGUUAGUCGGCACCUAAGGCGAGGCCGAAAGGCGUAGUCGAUGGAAAACAGGUUAAUAUUCCUGUACCGGAGGUAACUGCGAUGGGGUGACGGAGAAGGCUAGGUCAGCUGUCUGUUGGAAUAGGCAGUUUAAGCGAGUAGGGAGUGGAAUUAGGCAAAUCCGGUUCCAUAAUUCUGAGACGUGAUGACGAGUAUCCCCUAGGGGAGACGAAGUGAUUGAUGCCCUGCUUCCAAGAAAAACCUCUAAGCAUCAGGUUAUCUGCGGCCGUACCCUAAACCGACACAGGUGGGUGGGAUGAGAAUUCUAAGGCGCUUGAGAGAACUCGGGUGAAGGAACUAGGCAAAAUGGUACCGUAACUUCGGGAGAAGGUACGCCCUUGGUAGGUGAAGUCCCUUGCGGAUGGAGCUGAAGAGGGUAGCAUUAAACUGGUGGCUGCGACUGUUUAGCAAAAACAUAGCACUCUGCAAACUCGAAAGAGGAAGUGUAGGGUGUGACGCCUGCCCGGUGCCGGAAGGUUAAUUGAUGGGGUUAUCUUCGGAGAAGCUCUUGAUCGAAGCCCCGGUAAACGGCGGCCGUAACUAUAACGGUCCUAAGGUAGCGAAAUUCCUUGUCGGGUAAGUUCCGACCUGCACGAAUGGCGUAACGAUGGCCACACUGUCUCCACCCGAGACUCAGUGAAAUUGAAAUCGCUGUGAAGAUGCAGUGUACCCGCGGCUAGACGGAAAGACCCCGUGAACCUUUACUAUAGCUUGACACUGGACUUUGAACCUAUUUGUGUAGGAUAGGUGGGAGGCUGUGAAGCAUCAACGCCAGUUGGUGUGGAGCCGACCUUGAAAUACCACCCUGGUAUGUUUGAAGUUCUAACCUAGGUCCCUUAUCGGGAUUGGGGACAGUGUCUGGUGGGUAGUUUGACUGGGGCGGUCUCCUCCCAAAGAGUAACGGAGGAGCACGAAGGUGUGCUCAGCAUGGUCGGAAAUCAUGCGAUGAGUGUAAAGGCAAAAGCACGCUUGACUGCGAGACGGACAAGUCGAGCAGGUACGAAAGUAGGUCUUAGUGAUCCGGUGGUUCUGAAUGGAAGGGCCAUCGCUCAACGGAUAAAAGGUACUCCGGGGAUAACAGGCUGAUACCGCCCAAGAGUUCAUAUCGACGGCGGUGUUUGGCACCUCGAUGUCGGCUCAUCACAUCCUAGGGCUGAAGCAGGUCCUAAGGGUAUGGCUGUUCGCCAUUUAAAGUGGUACGCGAGCUGGGUUCAGAACGUCGUGAGACAGUUCGGUCCCUAUCUGCCGUGGGCGUUUGAGAUUUGAGGGAAGCUGCUCCUAGUACGAGAGGACCGGAGUGGACGAACCUCUGGUGUUCCGGUUGUCAUGCCAAUGGCAUUGCCGGGUAGCUAUGUUCGGACGGGAUAACCGCUGAAAGCAUCUAAGCGGGAAGCCUCUCCCAAGAUGAGAUCUCACUGGGACCGUGAGUCCCCUGAAGGGCCCUGAGAGACGAUCAGGUUGAUAGGUCAGGUGUGGAAGUGCAGUAAUGUAUGAAGCUAACUGAUACUAAUUGCCCGUGAGGCUUGACCAU
rfam:Methylomicrobium alcaliphilum str. 20Z chromosome, complete genome.